rnacentral:lncRNA from 1 species
AGUCUAGGGUGAGGCCUGAGAAUCUUCAUUUCUAACAAGCUCCCAAGAUACUGCUGCUGGUCUAUGGAUCAUACUUUGAAUAGCAAUGCAGGGCAGGAGAAAGAGUGGGAGUAUCCUAGAGGUGACAGGUCUGGAGGGAGGAUCCAGAGGUCUGGAUGCCAACAAGGGGUCCAUGGAGGCAAGGAGAGAUUUGGAGAGGAUCCCUGGCCCUGCUGUGGCUCUGGGGAGUUGGCAGCAUUUCUUCCACAUCUGGCUCAGGUCCACCUGCGCGUGCACAGUGGGGAGCGGCCGUUCCAGUGUGCCCUGUGCCAGAAGAGCUUCACCCAGUUCGCCCACCUUCAGAAGCACCACUUGGUGCACACUGGGGAGCGGCCCCACAAGUGCCGGACGUGCCAGAAGUGCUUCAGCAGUUCCAGCAACCUCAAGACUCACCUGUGCCUGCACGUCCAGUGCAGUGUCUGCCCAAAUCACUUCACCCAGCUUGUCCAUUGGAAGCUGCACCAACAGCUCCACACUCCACAACCCGGCGGCCUGGCUCACCCCCACCUGCCCCUGGGCUCUCUUCCCUGCCUUGCCCAAUGGCACCAGCGAGCAUUGGAUCUUGUUGCGGAGCCCUCAGAGAAACAGAUGGGUUGGGACAUGGACAGGGUCAAGGUGUCCUUGGUAUCCCAGGGAAAGCCAGGGCAGCCAGCCUGAGCCAACACUGCUCAGAGGAGAGGGCAAGGGCAGAGCAAUUAAAGGAUUUUCAAAAUGAUGAGUUGAGGCUUCCUGUGCUUCCACAGUGAAGGGGUCACCGUGUAAUUGCCAGACCUCACACUUUACCUGAGAGCAGGUCAGAGGAC